rnacentral:snRNA from 1 species
AUACUUACCUGGCACAGGCUUUACAGUGAUCCGCAAGGCUGUGGGCCCGGGCGAGACCUUUCCAUUGCACAUCGGCUUGGUUGGGUUGACCCCUGCGAUCGUCCCAAAUGUGGACGACUCGGGUGCGCAAUUUAUAAGUGUGGGGGACUGCGUUCGCGCUCUCCCCUU